AUAAAAGAUUUGAUCUGCCCACUGUAAUUAUAAAGGGCUGCGGUAGCCUGACCGUACUAAGGUAGCAUAAUAAUUUGUUCUUUAAUUGGGGACUGGAAUGAAUGAUUUUACUUUAAGUUAAUUGUCUUUUGAAUAUAAUUUGAAUUUUAUUUUUUCGUGAGGAAGCGGAGAUGGGAUAUGAAGACAAGAAGACCCUAUGAAAGUUUAUAAUUGAAAUUUUUGGAAUAAUAAGAGGAGUGGAAGAUUAUUGGGCUGGGGCGGUUUUAAAUUAAAACAUUAUUUUAGUAAGGCUUUGAAGAGAGUAUUAAGAUCUUUUGUUAAAGUAAAUGAAUAAGUUACUCUAGGGAUAACAGCAUUAUUCAUCUGGAGAGUUCAUAUUGGUAGAUG
rnacentral:rRNA from 1 species